GGAGGUCAGUGCGGGUGGAUCUUGAACCUUUAUUGUCCAGCCAGGCUUUAUCCACUCUUUGAUUUUUGCAUGCAGACAUAAAUGUUGCUGCUCCUAAGACCAUGCUUCCCUGCCAGCUACCGUGCCUUCUCUGCCAAGAUGAACUGUAUCCCCCUGAGUUUGUACUGCUCUAAACACAUAUGCCAGAGCAUAUGUUGACUCUUCCCAUCUUCAUAAUGCUCUCACCAGGUUGAUCUGGGUGGCUAACUUGGCUGGAUUUAGAACCACAUAGGAGACAAACCUUUGGACGUACCUGUGAGGAUGUUAUAGAGAAUAUCAACUAAAGAGAGGAGAUCACUCUGGAUGCGGGCAACUUUGUUCCACAGGUACAGGUAAAGGGCUGAACGAGACAGAGAAAGCAAACAGAACUCCAUUUUUCCUCUCUUUUGGCUCCCUGGCUGUGCACCGUGGCUGGACGUGAGCAGCUGCUUCACACUCCUGCUCCAUGCCUUCCCUACCAAUAUAGAUGGCACCUUCAAAUUGUCAGUCAAAAUAAACCCUUCUUUACACUG